rnacentral:lncRNA from 1 species
CCCACACCGACCAAAAGCGCCGAGAUGAUCACUGAUCCAACGUUCGUUAGAAAAACCACGAAAACGCUCAGAACGAUUAGAAUCCCGAGCGUUUCACGGUCACUGAAUGUCCGGCCGAAGAGGACCAGAGGCUGAUCGGAAGCGCGGAAGAGAUACAAGAAAAGCCAGGAGCAGAGGAGACCGACGAGGAGGAGGAGGGAGAAGGGGUUAGUAAGGAGGGAGAAUGCGAGGAUUACGAAAAUGGCGGCGAGGUAAUUGAUGCGGAAAUAGGCGUAGUUUUUGCGGAUCCGGGUUGUGGCUUCGGAUAUGGAUUCGGGUUUGG